rnacentral:ribozyme from 1 species
UGCCCAGCAACUCCUAUCCCUACCUCCUCGUGGUACUGGCCGGGGUACGAUUAACUUUGGGGAAGAUCGGGUAUCCAACCCCGGUGGGAACUUUGGUCGUAUGCUGACAGGGAAGG